rnacentral:rRNA from 1 species
UGGGGAAUUUUGGACAAUGGGCGAAAGCCUGAUCCAGCAAUGCCGCGUGUGUGAAGAAGGCCUUCGGGUUGUAAAGCACUUUUGCCCCGGAAAGAAAUCCUUGGCUCUAAUACAGUCGGGGGAUGACGGUACCGGAAGAAUAAGCACCGGCUAACUACGUGCCAGCAGCCGCGGUAAUACGUAGGGUGCAAGCGUUAAUCGGAAUUACUGGGCGUAAAGCGUGCGCAGGCGGUUUGCUAAGACCGAUGUGAAAUCCCCGGGCUCAACCUGGGAACUGCAUUGGUGACUGGGCAGGCUAGAGUAUGGCAGAGGGGGGUAGAAUUCCACGUGUAGCAGUGAAAUGCGUAGAGAUGUGGAGGAAUACCGAUGGCGAAAGGCAGCCCCCUGGGCCAAGUACUGACGCUCAUGCACGAAAGCGUGGGGAGCAAACAGGAUUAGAUACCCUGGUAGUCCACGCCCUAAAACGAUGUCAACUAGUUGUUGGGGAUUCAUUUCCUUAGUAACGUAGCUAACGCGUGAAGUUGACCGCCUGGGGAGUACGGUCGCAAGA